rnacentral:rRNA from 1 species
AGAGUUUGAUUCUGGCUCAGGAUGAACGCUAGCUACAGGCUUAACACAUGCAAGUCGAGGGCAGCAUGAUCAAAGCUUGCUUGAUUGAUGGCGACCGGCGCGACGGGUGAGUAACGCGUAUCCAACCUUCCCUAUAGUAGUGGAUAGCCCGGACGAAAGUCGGAUUAAUACACUAUGUUAUUCAACGAGGACAUCUGAAAUGAAUCAAAAGGUUUACCGCUAUAGGAUGGGGAUGCGUCUGAUUAGAUAGUAGGCGGGGUAACGGCCCACCUAGUCGACGAUCAGUAGGGGUUCUGAGAGGAAGGUCCCCCACAUUGGAACUGAGACACGGUCCAAACUCCUACGGGAGGCAGCAGUGAGGAAUAUUGGUCAAUGGACGGGAGUCUGAACCAGCCAAGUAAGCGUGCAGGAUGACCGGCCCUAGUGGGUUAGUAAACUGUCUUUUAGUACGGGGAAUAAAGUGAGCCACGUGUGGUCUUUUGUAGGUACCGUAUGAAUAAGGACCGGCUAAUUCCGUGCCAGCCGCCGC